AUUGAACGCUGGCGGCAUGCCUUACACAUGCAAGUCGAACGGUAACAGGUCUUCGGAUGCUGACGAGUGGCGAACGGGUGAGUAAUACAUCGGAACGUGCCCAGACGUGGGGGAUAACGAGGCGAAAGCUUUGCUAAUACCGCAUACGAUCUAAGGAUGAAAGCAGGGGACCGCAAGGCCUUGCGCGUUUGGAGCGGCCGAUGGCAGAUUAGGUAGUUGGUGGGAUAAAAGCUUACCAAGCCGACGAUCUGUAGCUGGUCUGAGAGGACGACCAGCCACACUGGGACUGAGACACGGCCCAGACUCCUACGGGAGGCAGCAGUGGGGAAUUUUGGACAAUGGGCGAAAGCCUGAUCCAGCAAUGCCGCGUGCAGGAUGAAGGCCUUCGGGUUGUAAAUUGCUUUUGUACGGAACGAAAAGGCUCUGGCUAAUACCUGGGGCACAUGACGGUACCGUAAGAAUAAGCACCGGCUAACUACGUG
rnacentral:rRNA from 1 species